rnacentral:rRNA from 1 species
GACGAACGCUGGCGGCGUGCUUAACACAUGCAAGUCGAACGGAAAGGCCCUGCUUUUGUGGGGUGCUCGAGUGGCGAACGGGUGAGUAACACGUGAGUAACCUGCCCUUGACUUUGGGAUAACUUCAGGAAACUGGGGCUAAUACCGGAUAGGAGCUCCUGCUGCAUGGUGGGGGUUGGAAAGUUUCGGCGGUUGGGGCUGGACUCGCGGGUUAUCAGCUUGUUGGUGGGGUAGUGGCUUACCAAGGCUGUGACGGGUAGCCGGCCUGAGAGGGUGACCGGCCACAUUGGGACUGAGGUACGGCCCAGACUGCUACGGGAGGCAGCAGUGGGGAAUAUUGCACAGUGGGCGGAAGCCUGAUGCAGCAACGCCGCGUGCGGGAUGACGGCCUUCGGGUUGUAAACCGCUUUCGCCUGUGACGAAGCGUGAGUGACGGUAAUGGGUAAAGAAGCACCGGCUAACUACGUG